rnacentral:sRNA from 1 species
GUUUUUGUUGUUGGUGAAAGGUGAGGGGAACAGCUGAUCCGUCUGUUGGGAGGACAGAUAUCUCAAGGCCAGGAUGGAAGAAUCACCACUAAGCCGGGCACCAUCCCGUGGUGGAGUCAACUUUCUCAAUGUAGCCCGGACCUACAUCCCCAACACCAAGGUGGAAUGUCACUACACCCUUCCCCCAGGCACCAUGCCCAGUGCCAGUGACUGGAUUGGCAUCUUCAAGGUGGAGGCUGCCUGUGUUCGGGAUUACCACACAUUUGUGUGGUCUUCCGUGCCUGAAAGUACAACUGAUGGUUCCCCCAUUCACACCAGUGUCCAGUUCCAAGGAGCUCAGCUCUACCAGUUCCGAUAUGUGAACCGCCAGGGCCGGGUGUGUGGGCAGAGCCCCCCUUUCCAGUUCCGAGAGCCAAGGCCCAUGGAUGAACUGGUGACCCUGGAGGAGGCUGAUGGGGGCUCUGACAUCCUGCUGGUUGUCCCCAAGGCAACUGUGUUACAGAACCAGCUCGAUGAGAGCCAGCAAGAACGGAAUGACCUGAUGCAGCUGAAGCUGCAGCUGGAGGGACAGGUGACAGAGCUGAGGAGCCGAGUGCAGGAGCUCGAGAGGGCUCUGGCAACUGCCAGGCAGGAGCACACGGAGCUGAUGGAACAGUACAAGGUGGGAGCUGGGCCAGGUAGGGGACAGGGCCUGGCUGCUCACCCAGCAUCCAAAAUCUGAACCCAGUGAAGAGGGUGAAGGAGAGAUGUUAGUGGGCUUUUACAAUGGUUCUGGCAUCAAGGAAAUAGGUUUAAGGGGUAGUGGCUGGGAUUAAACUUGAUGUGACAAGAGACAUGUUCCAAACUUGUAAUGAGACUCAGUUCUUUGAACAUAGGAAUGCUGGGGUAAGGUGGAGGUGGCCACAUUGAUAGGUAAGGGAAUGUUCCCUUACAGUUUCUUUUUCAAGGAAGGCAAUGUGAUAGCCAGGUGGAAGCAGUCAGACCCUGGUGUGCUCUUCCUAAGCCUUUGUUCCACCACUUGAGAGAUGAGUCCCAACCUCCCUUUUCUUCUGGGGGAAACUUAAUUUCAGGGGAUUUCCCGGUCCCAUGGGGAGAUCACAGAAGAGAGGGACAUCCUGAGCCGGCAACAGGGAGACCAUGUGGCACGCAUCCUGGAGCUAGAGGAUGACAUCCAGACCAUCAGUGAGAAAGUGCUGACGAAGGAAGUGGAGCUGGACAGGCUUAGAGACACAGUGAAGGCCCUGACUCGGGAACAAGAGAAGCUCCUUGGGCAACUG